CUAACCGUUUGUUUGUUUCUUCCACGCCAUCCGAGCAACCAGCGUAGAGCGCACUCCCCGAGACCCCCACCCCCGCUUCACCUGUCGUAUUCGUCUGCCGGCCGGCGACCGCGAUGGCGACCGCGCGAUCGCUCGCCGCGCUCCCCUCCGCCGGAGCCACGCGCCCCGGGUCUCGACUCGCGGGCCGCGCCCGGCCGCCCCGCGUCGCCGCUGCUCGUGCCGCGGCCGAGAGCGACCUCGCGCGGAGGCUCGUGGCGGAGUUCGACCCGGCGGUCCCGCUGGAGGCCGCGGUCACGCCGCCGAGCGGGUGGUACACCGACGCGGACCUCCUGCGGCUCGAGCUCGACCGCGUCUUCCUCCGCGGGUGGCAGGCUGUUGGUCACAUAUGGCAAGUGAAGAACCCCCAUGAUUUCUUCACAGGAAGACUGGGAAAUGUAGAAUUCGUCAUAUGCCGGGAUGCAAAUGGGAACCUUAAUGCUUUUCACAAUGUGUGCCGACAUCACGCCUCACUCCUUGCUUGUGGAAGUGGUCAGAAAACUUGCUUCCAGUGCCCUUAUCAUGGAUGGACUUAUGGAUUGGACGGUACCCUCCUGAAGGCUACAAGAAUAUCAGGAAUCAAGAAUUUCAAUAAGAAUGAUUUCGGUCUUGUACCAGUUAAGGUGGCUACAUGGGGACCUUUUGUAUUGGCCAGAUUUGAUGACGAGUCCACUGAAGGUGAUGCUGGUGAUGUGGUUGGAGAUGAAUGGCUGGGUAGUGCUUCAAAGCUGUUGAGUACAAAUGGCAUCGACACUUCACUGCCUCAUAUUUGCAGGCGAGAAUAUAUUAUCAACUGUAAUUGGAAGGUCUUUUGUGACAAUUAUCUAGAUGGUGGAUAUCACGUCCCAUAUGCACAUGGGGCUCUUGCAUCUGGUCUCCAGCUUCAGUCCUAUGAAACACUUACAUAUGAAAGAGUUAGUGUUCAAAGAUGUGAAAGUGCACCAUCAGAAUCAGAUGACCUCGAACGCUUAGGGACAAAAGCUCUCUAUGCCUUUGUUUAUCCAAACUUUAUGAUCAACAGGUAUGGUCCAUGGAUGGACACUAAUCUAGCUGUCCCACUGGGUUCAACCAAGUGUAAGGUGAUAUUUGAUUAUUAUCUCGACAUGUCUCUGCUGGUACAGUCCAUUUCUCUAGCUCAUGUGCCAAUUUCUGUUCUUUUACGCAUCUCCGGUGGCGUGCCAGUGAGUAGUUUGAAUUGCCAACUUGAGAUUUUUUUUUUGUUACAUAAGAUGGUUUCAUCUUGCUCAUUUCUUUUGCAGCACAACAUUUUUUUUGACGUGUGGUAUCUUGAUGGUAUACUUUCCACCUGCAUAAUUAAUGAUCAUUUGCAUUCACUACAGUUUAAAAUGGACCUUUUUCUAUUGUAUUUUUGGAGUGCUGAGGUUUACCUAGGGUAUAUCGUGCAUACUGUGAGCUCCUUCACUUGACCUUCCAUAUUGAAUGCACAGGAUGACCAGAACUUUAUCGAGAGAAGCCUAAGAGACAGUGAGCAAGUACAGAUGGAGGACAUUGCACUCUGUGAGGGGGUUCAGCGGGGCUUGGAGUCACCUGCUUACAGCAUUGGAAGAUACGCUCCCUCUGUGGAGAUGGCCAUGCACCACUUCCACUGCCUCCUGCAUUCUAACCUUAGCAGCUAGCGAUUCUCAUGUGCGUAUCUCACAACACCUGUACAGAACAAAGUGCCAUUGUCUUCAUGACGUGGCAUUUACACUGCUUUUGAUUGCAAUCUUGUGAUGUGAAACGGAUGGCACCUCCUCAAUUGAACAAAACCAUGUUUGCUGGCUAUUCUCAAUAAUUUUCUGUCAAAUUGCUUCCA